UUUCCAUGAUUUAUGUACAAUGCAGUGAAAUUAGGAUUCAAAAUUGAUAUAUAUUUGAUCUUGAACAAUAAAUUAUUAGGUCAAAGCUUUCACUUUGUUGAUUUUCCACACACAAUCAUCCAAUUUAGUGAAUGAUAUUUGCAGUUAGUGUUGAAAUCUUUAGUUGACACCGAUGAUUAAAAAAAUUGAUAUUGGUUUAUUGCUAUACAAUAGAAUCAUCUUUUUCCAGAUUAAUGUUGAUGAUGAUCAUGGGACGUGGCUUUUUAACUCUAGAUUUGGGGUAAUUGUUCAUUGCAGUUUUUGGUUUUAAGUGUAGUCGAAGGCGUAUUGAUUUAUAGAUGCAUGGAUACUUUAGGUAAUGCUGUUAUGGAGUAUUGAUUUUUAAUCCUAUGUACGGUUUUAGGUAACUGCUGUUUAUAGAGGAAAUUGGAGAUUAUAAGGAUUGGUUGUUGCCAUUAAAUCAGUCAUUCAAAAUGUCUUCAUGUGAGAAUGUGCAAACUAGUGAAGUUGGGGGCCAAGAUCAUCAAAAUAAUGCUCCUGUUGUUAGUGUUGGUUGCUUGAGACCUGAUGAUGGUGUGGAGGAGGAGGCUGAGGAAGAAGUGGAGGAUGGUGAGGAUGAGGAAGAAGAUGUAGAUUUCAAUCCCUUUUUGAAGGAAACACCUUCUCUGGAGGCUUCUUCUAGUUUGAGCUCUGAAAUUGAGGGUUUAGAUGGUGAUACUGUUGAUAGUAGAGAAAAUGUUAAUGUUACUCCAGAUGUCAAUUCAUCAAAGAUUAAUACUAUGUUGCAAAACUCCGAUGUUGGAGAUUCUGAGCACUGUGACGAGGAAAUUGUGAUGCGGAGUACUUCCUCCCAUGAAUUGCAAAAUAACGUUCCCCAGAAAAAUUACAAGAGGGAAGCUGGAUCUAGUUCUCAAUUGGAAAGAGAAAAGGAAAGUCAGUUAAGCAAUGUAAAGAAUAGUAUGGUUGGAGACUCGAGUAAUGCUACACAUUCCCAGAAGAUAAUAAUGUAUUUGAUUGAUGAUGAAGAUGAUGCUAUCUGCAGGCGUACUAGGGCUCGUUAUUCACUUGCCAGUUUCACUCUUGAUGAACUUGAGGCCUUUCUUCAGGAAACAGAUGAUGAGGAUGAUGUUCAAAAUGUUGACGAUGAAGAGGAGUAUAGGAAAUUUCUUGCUGCUGUUUUGCAAGGUGGAGAUGGCGAUCACCAGUCAACUCAGGAAAAUGAAAAUGUUGAUGAUGAAGAUGAGGACAAUGAUGCAGAUUUUGAAGUAGAACUUGAGGAGGCACUUGAGAGUGAUUAUGAUGAACCUACAUUGGAAAAGACACAGGCAGAGGAAAAUCAAAGAGCUGGACGACGUCCAGAAACAAGGCAGAACAGACGGCAAAAAGCCUCUGCUCAGUAUGAAAGAAAGCUUUUAGAGCAGACUAAGAGGCCAUUGCGCCCCCUCUUACCAAUCUUGCCUAAUGAACAAAUUACACCCAUACCUACUCUUAAUGGGAAAACUUGGAUGCCUGAGAUUUAUAAGAAUUGUGUAGCUUCUGCAGCAGUAGAUGGUUUCAUCAAUGGGUUCACUCCAUAUCAAAUAGGCCAGUUGCAUUGCUUGAUACAUGAGCAUGUGCAACUUCUUAUUCAAAUAUUUUCUCUUUGUGUGCUUGACCAUUCUCGGCAGCACAUUGCAUCUCAAAUUCAGGGUUUGAUUCUCGAGAUGCUUCAAAAACGAGAUGAAGCGAUAGCUCAUAAAAGAAAGCCAUAUCCUGAUUCUUGCUUCAAGCCUCCAUAUGUCUCUUCGUCAGUGCCAAAUGAGGUCCCCCUUUUGUGCCCCACAAAGAACACCUCUAAAACAUCUACAUCUAAUGCUAAUGGAGUCUGCUUUUCCCCAAAUACACAGCUGCCUGAUGCUCAAAAUAUUUCCAGUCCUGGAAGAAGAUGUGAACAUUCUGAUGUGCAGUUGUACUCUUUCUGGGUGCCUUCUUUAAGCAGCCCAGUGUUAUCCAUUCUCGAUGUUGCUCCAUUCAAUUUAGUUGGAAGAUACAUGGAUGAUGUAUAUUCUGCUGUCCAGGAGCAUCGACAACGUCACUUGGAGAGUAGUACUACACAAUAUGAAAAGGCACCCCUGUUCCCUCUUCCUUGUUCUCCAUCUAUGAUGGAAGCUAAUAAUGAAGCAUCAAGAAGCAGUUCUUCACCAGUUGGCUGUUUAGGGCCACCAUCAGUCUGUCAGCCACCAGCUAAGAAGACAUUGGCUGCUACACUUGUUGAGAAAACAAAAAAGCAGUCAGUUGCCUUAGUCCCUAAGGAAAUUGCGAAGUUAGCACAGAGAUUUUUUCCAUUGUUCAAUCCAGCAUUAUUUCCCCAUAAGCCACCUCCUGUUGCAGUUGCAAAUCGGGUUCUUUUCACUGAUGCAGAGGAUGAAUUACUGGCAUUGGGCUUAAUGGAAUAUAAUUCAGAUUGGAAAGCAAUUCAACAACGUUUUCUUCCUUGCAAAUCUAAGCACCAGAUUUUUGUUAGGCAAAAAAAUCGAUGCUCAUCCAAGGCGCCAGAAAAUCCCAUAAAGGCAGUCCGGAGAAUGAAAAACUCUCCUUUGAAUGCAGAAGAGAUACAAGGUAUUCAGGAGGGGCUCAAAGCAUUUAAACUUGACUGGAUGUCUGUCUGGAAAUUUAUAGUCCCACACAGGGAUCCAUCCUUGCUUCCCCGGCAGUGGCGCAUAGCCCUUGGAACUCAGAAGUCAUAUAAACAAGAUGCAGCCAAAAAAGAGAAGCGGCGACUCUAUGAAUCUGAACGACGAAAGCGUAAAGCUACCAAUUCGACUAAUUGGCAACAUGCAUCUGAUAAAGAGGACUGUCAAUAUACUGGUGUAGAGAAUUGCAGUGGAGAUGAUGACAUGGAUAAUGCAGAGGAGUCUUAUGUUCAUGAGGGAUUUUUAGCUGAUUGGAGGCCGGGUAUUUCCAAGCUCUUUUCAUCUGAACAUCCUUGCUCGAUCAUUGGAGACAAGAACCCACCUAAUGAUAUGCUUACAGAAGAGGGUGCAAAUGUCAGAGAACAAUCAAGUAGAUAUAUGUCUGCAGUCACUCGGCCCUUGAGUGGCCAUAAUCAGGGAUCUGCACAUGCGUUUAACCAUUCUCAGCCGCCUUACACCUUUUCUCAUUGUGCAUCUAAUGCAUUGCAGCCAAAACACCCUGUUCCUAAUAUGAUAUUGAAUACCACUAAACCUCAAAUAUAUUUACGGCCAUAUCGAUCUCGUAAAUCCAACAAUCUACGGGUAGUGAAAUUGGCACCAGACUUGCCCCCAGUAAAUCUACCACCAUCUGUUCGUGUAAUCUCAGAAUCAGCUCUGAAAUUCAAUCAAUGUGGAGCAUACACCAAGGUUUCUGCAACUGGAAAUCGCGUUGUUGAUGCUGGAAUAGUAAAUACAGUUUCUCCAUUUUCAGGUUUUACUAAGCCAUUGGUGAAUAAAAGUGAUAAAAGCAAUCCAAUGGGAGAUAAUGUCACAAAUUCCAACUCAGAAGAAUCUGGGGUUGUCAAGGACAAAAGUGUUGCAAAAGAAAGUACUCGUACUGAUCUUCAGAUGCAUCCGUUGCUGUUUCAGGCCCCUGAAGAUGGACAAGUGCCAUAUUAUCCACUGAAUUGUGGAGCUGGUGCAUCCAGUUCUUUCAGUUUGUUUUCCGGGAACCAGCCCCAACUAAACCUAAGUCUCUUUUACAAUCCACAGCAAGCUAAGAAAAUGAAGGAAUCUGUUUCAGCAUCCUAUGGCAUUGAUUUCCACCCGCUCUUGCAAAGAACUGAUGAAACAAAUAAUGAACUAAUUACUUCGGGCUCUAUUGCAUCUCCAUCUGUUGGUUUGGAUGGCAAAUCUGCUGCACCUAAUCCUUCCAAUGCUGUUCAAAUGAGGCCAGUGGUCCAUUACAGCCCAUUUGCUGCUAGAUCUAGGCCUUCUAGUCCAAAUGAGAAAGCUAACGAACUAGACUUGGAGAUCCAUCUUAGUUCUUCAUCUGCGAAAGAAAAUGCUGCAUUAAGUAGGGGUGUGACUCCACAUCCUACAAACUCAUCAGUUAGGUUACUAAAUUCUCAUAAUGCAACAGAAACACAGGACACUUUCCAUUCAUCAGGCAACAAGUUUGUUUCUGGUGGCUGUGCAUCUACCAUAUCAAGCAAAGUCAUUGGAAGAUACAUUGACGAUGGAAGUGACCAGUCUCAUCCUGAGAUUGUGAUGGAACAGGAAGAGUUAAGUGACUCAGAUGAAGAUGUUGAAGAACAUGUGGAGUUUGAGUGCGAAGAAAUGGCUGAUUCCGAAGGAGAAGGAGAUUCAGGCUGUGAACAAGUAUCGGAGAUGCAAGAUAAGGAUGCCCAAGGUUCCGUGACACGAGAAAUUGUGAUGGAUGAAGAUUGUAAUGAUCAACAAUGGGAAUUAAGCAUCCAUGGCUACAAGUCACAGAACAAUGUUUGUGAUCCUGAAAGCAGAAGCCCUUCUUUCUUGAAGACGGGUUCCACAUGUCCAAAGAAGGAUAAAAGCAGUUCCUGGUUGAGCUUAGAUGCAUCUGCAUCAGGACGUACUUCACGUGCAAAACCUAAGAAUGAAGCGAGUACAAUCAGCAAAUGCACUCCUACUAAAACUUCAGCUUCACAUCGUACCACCAGACCUUCGAAGCAGGCAACACCAAGCACAAGAAAAGUUGCACUACAGGAGCAUGCUGUAGAUAUGGCAGAACAACUCAGCUUGGGUCCUCUAUCAGCUCCAACAUCAAGGAAACCAAGAAAACGUACAUGUCGGGCAAAUAAAAUCACAAAUGUUGGUACGAGCUUAGGGAACUCAAAAAAAGAUGCGAAAGACAGUGGUUAGUUAAAGUGACAGAUUAUUGCUGGUAAUGGUGAUUGAGUUGCUUAUAUUCCCCUGGCCGAGAUUUUGUUUUUGUAUGCUUGCUUCCGUGGCUGAAAAGAGAGCCCUCAGCAGAGAUUUUGUAUCUCCACUGCCUUCACUCUUGCUGUAAGUUAAUCCAUUGGUCACCAUGUCUUGCCCUCUAAUCUAACAAUGUGGGUGUCCUGAAAACCAUCUCUUUCAGACACCUUAGAGAUCAUAUCGGUUCAGUAAAGAACACGCUGAAGAUUACCUAAGCCAUAAAGCUUGUUGCUGCUGCUGCUAAAGUCAGGAGAGCUCAAGAAGCUGUGAUCAACGACAGACCUUUCUCCGAGUCUCUCUAAUGGAAGUUCUUUACAACAUCAACGAACCACUCCGGAGUGAAGACAUUGAUGUUCCUCUCACAAAUGUUAGGCCAGUCAAAAAGGUUGCCCUGGUCAUUGUUGCUGGUGAUUCGUGGUCUUUGUGGGGGUUUGGACAAUACAUUCCCCGAUCACGUCCAAGAACAUGUGUGAAGGGCGAUUAAUCCCUGUUAUUAAAAUGUAAGAAUUUUUACCAAAUGUACAUUAUGUACAUUAUAAAUGUUCAUACAAAAUCUUGAUACAAACUUGAAAGUUUAGGGUUAGAGUCUUGUACAAACCCUAUUAUGGUGACGUGAACCAUAGGUAAACGACAUCGUGGGUUGGUGUUCAACAUCAUUUUGAUAGUAAAAAGAUCUUUUCGGUC